GUGUAGUGCACCACGCAGGUCUGGCCGCGCUUCGGGAAGGUGCGCCCUGAGGAGAGACAGACUGCAGAUCCCAAUCUAGAGACUACAAACUACUCCAAAGAUGAUCUACACCAUGACAACCCAACAAACAAAACCAGAAAGUCCUGGACUUGCUGAAAGCUGAUGUAAACCAAUCUAGUCAAUUCGAUGCUUCCUGUCUCUUCAGCUGGGUCAGCAAAUCAGAUGCUUCUGAUGAAUACCGGACUGCCCUAAUCCCCUCCUGCCUUUGGGUGCUAUUCCAGCCUUCCUGGGCUCUGAUGGCAUCCUCAUUUUUGCAGGAGAUAAAGAAUGCUAAGACCCUACCAAAGAUUUCACAGGGACACAGAAGACAAUCAAGGGAUGAAGAUCCAGCCUGCCUCCAUCUUAGGCUUAAAAGCCAUCUUACCAUAAAGACAAAGGAGGUCCAUUCCUGUUUAUGAUUAAACCUCUGCUUCUCAAGGA